rnacentral:lncRNA from 10 species
CUGUGGAUGAGUAUCAACAAGUUGGAAAACAGACAACACUCAGGAAGAAAGUCUACCCAAUAAGCUAUAAUAAAAUACACCAAUAACACCAAUAAUACACUCUACAAUGAAACUCAUCUCAGGUGCACAGACAAAUGCAACAGAUAGAAAGAUUAGCAGCAUCAGUAAAAUUCUACAAUGUCAGCACAUUGAAGAGAGUAUAGGACUGAAGCCAGUAAAUACUUAUUACCCAAAUGCAUGAAAGAAAACAAAUGAAUGGGAUUUAAAGAUGCAGAUUGAUUAGGUAUGAAAGACCCUGUAAACACAUUGCUAUCUAAGUUCAUGGCUGUACUAUUUUUAGAAAGAAAAUGAUACAAAACUGUAAAGUUCUCCACACAUGAAAGCAACUGUAAUGUACCUACUGAUAACCCACUCCUGGACCAUUUGUUAUGGAACCAACAAAUUCAAUCAAUUUCAAUUUGUACUAUUUCUGAAGGAAAGGCUUCAAGUUUUCAGGCUAUAUGAGGCACUAUAAUCAUCUGUGGAAGCGCUUAAACUGCCUUAUAGUCUUUCUCUCUGUGGGUAUGUGUUUGUAACAGAAAUGACCAUUGUAGUUAUUAUGGAGCCUAUUGCUAUUUUUGUAAGAAAUGCUAAUAAGGAUAUAAGAAUCCAUCUGAACAGCAAAUGUGUUCUAGUAUAACUGCUAGUUACAUUGGCUAUUAAUAAAAUUUGUUUCUGUAAUAUACCUGUUACAAGAAUAAUUCUUUUGCACUGUAUUUCCAUCAAGCAUAUAAGACAAAUAUGAACUAUCAAUUGAUAAAACCUAAUUUCAAAUGUCUUUCUCUUCAGACUAAUGUGGAAACUAGAGUUGUAAUUAUAAAUUGCUUGUACAUAUUAAAACUCUUAGCUCUAAUCUUGUAUAUUUCCUAUAAACCAUAUGAUCGUUGGAAGAUUUUGUAUGUUUUGAACAUGUAUCCCUAUAGCACUUUCUAUUUUUUACCAAUGUUUUUCAUUUUCAUAAAGCAACAUUUUAGUAAUAAUUUAUAAAGCUUUUCUUUCUUAAACAGCAAGUCAAAUGACUCAAUUCUAUUUCUAAACAGUAUUAUUUUAUGAGAAAAUUAUUAUUAUUCUCUCAAAUUUUUAAAAUUAUAAUCUUUUUUUUUGCUUCAGCCUUUUAAGGAAAGCUUCUAUAAUUGGCUUACUUUCAAAGGAUAUAAAAUAUGUAUUCAUUAAGAUGUCAAUUAAAU